rnacentral:rRNA from 1 species
UAGGGAAUCUUCGGCAAUGGGGGCAACCCUGACCGAGCAACGCCGCGUGAGUGAAGAAGGUUUUCGGAUCGUUAAAGCUCUGUUGUAAGAGAAGAACGUGUGUGAGAGUGGAAAGUUCACACAGUGACGGUAACUUACCAGAAAGGGACGGCUAACUACGUGCCAA